rnacentral:rRNA from 1 species
GCGUGGGAAUCUACCCAGUAGUGGGGGACAACAGUUGGAAACGACUGCUAAUACCGCAUACGCCCUAAGGGGGAAAGGCAGGGGAAGUCUUCGGAUCCUUGUGCUAUUGGAUGAGCCCGCGUGAGAUUAGAUAGUUGGUGAGGUAAUGGCUCACCAAGUCUACGAUCUCUAGCUGGUCUGAGAGGAUGAUCAGCCACACUGGAACUGAGACACGGUCCAGACUCCUACGGGAGGCAGCAGUGGGGAAUAUUGCACAAUGGGCGAAAGCCUGAUCCAGCCAUGCCGCGUGAGUGAUGAAGG